UCCUGGAAGUCCCUUUCCACGUUCAGCCCA
rnacentral:piRNA from 1 species